CACGCCGUAAACGAUGGGUACUAGGUGUCUGGGGGAACGACCCCCUGGGUGCCGGCGCUAACGCAUGAAGUACCCCGCCUGGGGANAACGCGAAGAACCUUACCUGGGCUUGACAUGCUGGAGAAAGCUCGCAGAAACGUGAGCCCCUCUUCGGAGUUCCAGCACAGAUGC
rnacentral:rRNA from 1 species